rnacentral:rRNA from 1 species
GGGAAACUUACCAAGGCCAAACAGAGGUGGGAUUGACAGAUUGAGAGCUCUUUCUUGAUUCUUUGGGUGGUGGUGCAUGGCCGUUCUUAGUUGGUGGAGUGAUUUGUGGCUUAAUUUGACUCAACACGGGAAAUCUCACCAGGCCCGGCUACUGGAAGGAUUGACAGAUUGAUAUUGAUAUUGAGCAAUAA